UGCGACGUACCACCGUAUGAUAAAGUUACAUCUGUCCACACAGAAAAUUGCAUCUCAACAAACCUGUCAUUGGUACCUGAACUACAUUUCAGUCACUCAGUAAAGUGAUAAUUCAAAAUAUCAUUGUCAACAGAUCUGGAGAAAUUGCCAGUCUUUAGACCGUUUUCGUCAGACGACAGACGCAGUUCUGACUGAUUACUGGUUGCUGUACAUAUAUAUCCACAUCAAGGCUGUUGAGAGAGACUCGUGAAGAUUCAAGACAGCUCUUAGAGGAUUUGCAGUUUAAAAGUGAAAUAAUUAUGAAAUAAGUG